AUAUGAAUUUGGUUCUGGUUCUUUAAGUUGUGUAGGUUGAGGCUUAUGCAUGCGAGCUUGAGAUAGCAUCACGGUAAGGCACGCACCUUUUUAAUUAUUUUAAUAAAGUAAUAUUAGUUAUUAAGAAUGUAUGGUUUAACUGUUCUAACCUAAGAAUAAUUUCCGUUAAAUUUCGUUACACCUGCAGCAAUGAGUUCUUAACACUAACUGGGAGGUUGAUUAGACCAAGUAUAAUAGGGAAGUGGCUCAGUCUCGUGCCAGCAGCCGCGGUUACACGAAUCUCUUCUCGCAACUAACAAAGCGGUUUAAGAAGGAACACUUUUUUACUAGUAGAAAAGGUAGCAUUAAGUGUGAAAACUUUAGUGUUAUGCGAAGAUAUUAGAUAUAAUGUAGUACUUAUUAAUUUAAGGCGGAAACCCGGAUUAGAGACCCGGUUAUUCUUAAGUGUAAAUAUUUCAAGCCGGCGGAGUAUUAAGGUGUCUUUGAAAAGCAAAGAACUUGGCGGUUGUCUAUUUCUGAUUAGGGGAACUUGCUUGUAAAGGAUAAUCCACCAAACACCUGACCUUUUCUUGAAAAAUCAGCCACUAUAUCAUCGUCUUUAAGCACUUAGUCCAAGUUAAAGACAGCGCUGACCAGUAAAUGUUGGUAGAAGUCAGAUCAAGAUGGUGCUAAUGAAAAGGGAGGAGUGAGGUACAUUGGCUUUCUGGCUUUCGAACUUUCCUUUGAAAUCGGGAGAUAAAGUGGGACUUAAUAGUAAAGUAUUUUGAGAUAGAAUACUUGAACUUAGCACUAGGCUUCGUACACAUCGCCCGUCGCCUGCGGGAUAAAACUUGGAGUAAGUCGUAACAUAGUAGGCGGACUGGAAGGUGUGGCCUGGAAAACA
rnacentral:rRNA from 1 species